rnacentral:lncRNA from 1 species
UUCUCCAGAAGAUUCACACUACGGAGAAUCCUGCAGAUAUGCUCACCAAGGUGGUUACAAGGACCAAGUUUGAACACUGUUUAGACUUGGUUAAUAUCUUGCACAUUUGAAGUUGGCGUCCGGAGGCGCAAAUUUGAAGCACUGUAAAGUUUGUUUUUGUUAUGUUUUGAGAAGAUUUGUUUUAGGUGAGACUUGAAAUUAAGCCAAGGUGGAGAUUUGUUGAUUUUGGCUUAAUCCCAAGUCCCACAUCGGUGGGUUCAUUGUUUGGGAAGGAGGUUUGGGGGUUAUAAAUUAAACUCUUCUCCUUCACUGUUAAAUAUCCCAAUUUGUAAUAUCUUCUCUCAUAGUAAUAAAAGUGAGCUGUUUUUGCUGUGCUCGGAGAUUAGGCUAAACAGGCCGAACUCCGUUAACAAUUUUCGGGUGUGUUCUUUCCUCUUUAUCUCUUUUAUUAUUCCGCUUUAUUUAUUCAAUAUUAUUUGUCGGGUAGCUCUGUUAGAGUUUUGUUUUAGUGGGAAAAUUACCCGUUUU